rnacentral:misc_RNA from 1 species
AAUCUGUGAAAAGUUUAUUUGCAUUUCCUUCCCUAAGUAAUUAACUACAAUCGAACUUGGGUGGCAAUUAUCAAGAAAACGACAAUAGUUGAGUAUGUACGAUGGCUGCAGGUGGUUGUUGGGGCUAGUUGGGUAGUUAGGGAGGCAGGGCAGUGUUGUGGUCACGGGACUCCUGUGUGUCAGCUCGUGUUACCUCUCUCGGCUGGGGUAUCCUAUAUAUACCUGUUUUACCGGUUGUAGGCGUGCCAGGGGUCCCAACAAGGAUUACAAUGGAGAGAUACGAUGAGGACCUCGGCGAGAACAGCUUCUUUCAAGUGCUACAAAAGGAUUACGGGGAAGUGUUUGAAAGGGCUGUCUUAAGUGAAUGGAUCAUCUGUGUUCCUAGGGCAGGGGCGUUACCCAAGUAUUCUUUAGCUCAAGAUGAUAUAUUGGGGCAUAUUUUAGUGCCCAGUGAGGAAUUACCGGAGACACAUUUUAGGACAUUAACCGACAGAAGUGUGGUGCUGAAUGGGAAUGUCUUGGUGUUAGAGAACAAUGUGUCCAAUCCCCUUUCAGUACACAUACUGUUUGACGAGACUUACUAUGAUGAUGAAAUGAGAAAGUACAAAGUGAUGUGCCUUGAGGAUCCACUGUAUGCCUCCCAUGCCUUUACCCCCACAAGUGGCUCUGGUCUUGUGACCCUUUAUUCAGUGAGAGAUUGUAUUGAUCUUCUGUGGACUGAAGCAGGUGGUGGGAGAGCACUUGAAGGAGUAGAUAAUCUUAUCAAGCAAUUUCUAACACGAAAUCCUUCAUUAGAGGAAGAAACUUUACAAAGUUUGCGUGACCUUGGCAGUGAAUUAUUCUCUGAAGCCGUACAAGUAAUACUGUCCGAUCCAAGACUUGGACAGAAGACUAAAAGGGAUCAGUAUCUUUUGGAAACUGUUAAGUUGGCCGUGGAAACGUAUGUGUUGUACUGCACAUACAAAAGAUUUAUGAAAGGCAUUGCUGCUUGUAAGGCUGAUGAGGAUGCAAGGCUGAACAGAAUAAUAAAGAAUCUUGCUGACUUACAGUUAAGAGAUUUAGGUAUAGACCCACAGUUGAUGUGCAGCCUAACAAAAGCUAAGUUUGAAUUGGCUAGUAUUGAAGGCCAAACUACACCUCUUGGUAAAUUGGGCUGCAUCAAGCGUGCCAUAUCUCUAGUGACUUCACACGGUACCGUAGUGUCGUCUGACGAACUCCUGCCGAUAUUACUCUUCUUGGUUGUAAAGGCAAAUUUGCCAAAUUGGUACGCUCAUGUAUCAUUCCUGAAGCUUUUUCGCUUCUCCGUGGCCAUUAGUGAUAGCGGCGAACAGAGCUUUAAUAUUUGUUCUCUUGAAGCGGCAAUAGAGCACCUCAGUUCUGGGUCUCUAUUUGGCUCCACGUCACCUGAAGCAGACUCGGUGUUGCAACCCGGGUGUAUUACUAGUCCCAUCUUGAAGAGCAUGGAAGAAUCACUUAUGUAUAACGGGGUCGACCCCAUGGCACGGUACUUUGAGUGCAUUCGCCUUGGAAAAGUGGAAGAUGUUAAGGAUAUUUUAGAUGGAAAAUACAAACCCUUUGAAAAAAUAAGUGAAAAUGAGCCAAGUUUGAUUGAGGCAGAUGCUCAACUUUGUCAUCCACUCUGUUCGUGUGAUCGAUGUGAGAAAUUGGUGUCUAAACCAAAGAAGGACGUAAUGCCAACAGUUUACACGAGAGAGGAGAGGGGGUAUACUGGCCUUCAUGUUGCUUGUAUAUUUGGUCGCCCAACAAUUGUUGAUCUCCUGAUAAGUCUUGGAUCUGACCUACAUGCCACAGAUUUCCGGGGUGCCACACCAUUACAUUAUGCCUCACAGCGGGGACACCAGAAUGCUGUAUUGCUACUCCUACAUGCUGGUGCUGAUAUAAAUAAAUGUGAUGGCGAUUCAAAUACGCCAUUACACCUGGGUGCUCUGAAUGGCCAUAUUGCCUGUGUCAAGGCCUUAUUAUUCUAUGCUGAGUCUGUUGGCUGUCAAAUUUCAAUCAAUGCACAGAACAAUUUGCUUGAUACGCCACUGCAUCUUGCCAGCAGGUGGGGAUAUUCUGCUAUUGUUGAGUUGCUUCUCGAUCGAAUAUUAAUUCUGGGAUUGAGUUUGAAAGUGUACAACAACCGAAAACUUACCGCUCUAGACUGUGCUCACAAUCUCCAUAUUUCAAAACUAAUUCUUGAAGCAAAUAUGAGAAACGACGAGCUUCAGAGUUAUGUAAGAGUAGACAUGGAUUGUAUAGAUUCUUCUGGUAAAAAAGGUUCAGACUUUAAAGAUAGUGCUGAAAGGUCAGAAGUGAAAAAGAAUACUCUCUAUACAGAUCCCAGUCACCUGAAGCAUGUAGAGAAGUUACUGAAGGUAGUCAGAGUUGGAGAUGUUAAAUUAGCUUGUUUUUAUCUUGGUAUAGAAGAGAAGAUCACUGGGCCAGAAGUAUUAUCACCUAGGACCCUGUGUCAUCCACUGUGUCAGUGCUCUGAAUGUGCUCCUAAUUUUCAUAAUAAUCAAGAAUCUUCAGAAACCUUCAAGGCCACACCAAUCAACUCCUGCAAUGCGGAUGGUUACACUGCCCUACAUGUUGCAGUAACACAAAACCAUCUUCACUUAGCUAAAGUGUUACUAGGUCAUGGAGCUAAUCCCAGCCUUUUGACCAAUAGUAGAAGGUUGACUCCCCUCCACAUAUCUGCCCAGAAUUGUAAUUUCGACUUGAUGCAGGCAUUAUUAUCUUACGGUGCGCAGGUAGACACUCAAGAAGUGUGUGGCAACACAGCGCUCCACUACUGUUGUGUGAAAGGAUUUAAUGAAGGUGUGAAGUUGUUGUUGGAUUGGAAAGCAACAAAGGAUAUCUCAAACCUAUCAGACAAUACUCCUGCCCAAGAAGCUGAGAAGAGGGGCCACUGGCAUAUUGUGGAGAUGAUCUUUGGGAAAACUAUGCCAUAUUAGAUUGUGAUAUCACUGGACUAAAAAAAAAAAAAAAUACUGCUUAUUGGAGGCCUUCAUAAUAAUAAGCUGAUCAUCUUUGGACCCAUGUUUUCUGGAAAGACAACUGAGCUGAUGAGGCGUCU